rnacentral:rRNA from 1 species
GACGAACCGUGCGAACGUUGUUCGGAAUCACUGGGCUUAAAGGGCGCGUAGGCGGGCGGGCAAGUCGGAGGUGAAAUCCCGCAGCUCAACUGCGGAAGGGCCCCCGAUACUGUUCGCCUCGAGGGAGGUAGGGGCGCGUGGAACUUCCGGUGGAGCGGUGAAAUGCGUAGAUAUCGGAAGGAACGCCGGUGGCGAAAGCGACGCGCUGGACCUCUUCUGACGCUGAGGCGCGAAAGCCAGGGGAGCAAACGGG